rfam:Ciona savignyi cont_34763, whole genome shotgun sequence.
UAGUACUUCACGUUGUGGCCGUGACAACCCAGGUUCGAAUCCUGGUCACAGCA